UGACUCUCUAGCAAUGGGCAAAGAGACACCUUAUUGAUGGUAGUGUUUUUAUAUCAGUGAAGGGGCAGAGCAGAUGGCAGUUCUUGGUUCAUCCCAGCUUGAUAACUGGCUUGGUGGCCCAAGUUCAUUUAUGCCUAGAACUUGUAA
rnacentral:snoRNA from 1 species